UACGGAGGGUGCAAACGUUGCGCGGAUUUACUGGGCGUAAAGAGCGCGCAGGCGGUCGUUCAAGUCGAGUGUGAAAGCCCCCGGCUCAACUGGGGAGGGUCACUCGAUACUGAUCGACUUGAAGGCAGGAGAGGGAAGCGGAAUUCCCGGUGUAGUGGUGAAAUGCGUAGAUAUCGGGAGGAACACCAGUGGCGAAGGCGGCUUCCUGGCCUGUUCUUGACGCUGAGGCGCGAAAGCUAGGGGAGCAAACGGG
rnacentral:rRNA from 1 species